rnacentral:tRNA from 1 species
ACCUGAGUGGCUCAGUCGGUUGAGCGCCUGACUUCAGCUCAGGUCAUGAUCUCACAUUUUGUGGGUUCAAGCCCCACCCCAGGCU